CAGUCGCCGCGGUAAUACGUAGGUGGCAAGCGUUGUCCGGAAUUAUUGGGCGUAAAGGGCUCGCAGGCGGUUUCUUAAGUCUGAUGUGAAAGCCCCCGGCUCAACCGUGGAGGGUCAUUGGAAACUGGGAAACUUGAGUGCAGAAGAGGAGAGUGGAAUUCCACGUGUAGCAGUGAAAUGCGUAGAGAUGUGGAGGAACACCAGUGGCGAAGGCGGCUUUUUGGCCUGUAACUGACACUGAGGCGCGAAAGCGUGGGGAGCGAACAGGAUUAGAUACCCCCGUAGUCCCUGUCUCUUAUAA
rnacentral:rRNA from 1 species